CGCGUAGGCGGGUCAGCAAGUCCGGGGUGAAAGCUUUCGGCUCAACCGGAAAAGGGCCUUGGAUACUGCUGGUCUGGAGGAAGGUAGGGGCGUGUGGAACUUCCGGUGGAGCGGUGAAAUGCGUAGAUAUCGGAAGGAACGCCGGUGGCGAAAGCGACACGCUGGACCUUUUCUGACGCUGAGGCGCGAAAGCCAGGGGAGCAAACG
rnacentral:rRNA from 1 species